UUUAGCUUUUAAAACAGUGUGUACAUGGUAUAUCCAAAAAUGCACUAUUGUGAAGAAAGUGUUUGUGAUUUGAUGCAAAUGCUUCAUUUUGAACAUAUAAGGCAUUUUUAACUUUGUGUGUGCUGUUUUGGAAAU